rnacentral:rRNA from 1 species
UGGGGGAUAUUGCACAAUGGGCGAAAGCCUGAUGCAGCGACGCCGCGUGGGGGAUGAAGGCCUUCGGGUUGUAAACUUCUUUUGCUCUGAACAAGGCGCACCAUGGGGUGUGUUGAGUGUCGGGGUUGAUUAGCGCCGGCUAACUACGUGCCAGCAGCCGCGGUAAUACGUAGGGCGCGAGCGUUGUCCGGAAUUAUUGGGCGUAAAGGGCUUGUAGGUGGCUGGUUGCGUCUGUCGUGAAAGCUCAUGGCUUAACUGUGGGUUUGCGGUGGGUACGGGCUGGCUUGAGUGCAGUAGGGGAGGCUGGAAUUCCUGGUGUAGCGGUGGAAUGCGCAGAUAUCAGGAGGAAUACCGGUGGCGAAGGCGGGUCUAAGGGCUGUUACUGACACUGAGGAGCGAAAGCAUGGGGAGCGAACAGG